rnacentral:lncRNA from 1 species
UCUAUUUAAGAGGAGAUUUGAAAGCCGUUCCUCCUCCAACCAAAACAGGUUGUUAACCAGAAUCAUUAACACCAAUUUAAUCCACGAACAUGUCAUGAACACAUCUAAUCAUUAUCUUCUAUCUAUUAAAGUUCAACCCUGCUGAGUGCUGAGCUUCAGAGAUCUCAGAAAGAGCACAAACAAAUGCCAAUUGUAACUGAAAGUCAUAGAACACCUUCAGCACAUUCACAUAUUCCACGACUAAUCAACUUAAAAAUAGGCAAACACCCUAAUUUACAUUGUCAUAUAUAAAUUUAGAAACGGGCAAACUGUCUUUUGACA